GAUGAACGCUGGCGGCGUGCCUAAUACAUGCAAGUCGAGCGAACGGACGAGAAGCUUGCUUCUCUGAUGUUAGCGGCGGACGGGUGAGUAACACGUGGAUAACCUACCUAUAAGACUGGGAUAACUUCGGGAAACCGGAGCUAAUACCGGAUAAUAUUUUGAACCGCAUGGUUCAAAAGUGAAAGACGGUCUUGCUGUCACUUAUAGAUGGAUCCGCGCUGCAUUAGCUAGUUGGUAAGGUAACGGCUUACCAAGGCAACGAUGCAUAGCCGACCUGAGAGGGUGAUCGGCCACACUGGAACUGAGACACGGUCCAGACUCCUACGGGAGGCAGCAGUAGGGAAUCUUCCGCAAUGGGCGAAAGCCUGACGGAGCAACGCCGCGUGAGUGAUGAAGGUCUUCGGAUCGUAAAACUCUGUUAUUAGGGAAGAACAUAUGUGUAAGUAACUGUGCACAUCUUGACGGUACCUAAUCAGAAAGCCACGGCUAACUACGUGCCAGCAGCCGCGGUAAUACGUAGGUGGCAAGCGUUAUCCGGAAUUAUUGGGCGUAAAGCGCGCGUAGGCGGUUUUUUAAGUCUGAUGUGAAAGCCCACGGCUCAACCGUGGAGGGUCAUUGGAAACUGGAAAACUUGAGGGCAGAAGAGGAAAGUGGAAUUCCAUGUGUAGCGGUGAAAUGCGCAGAGAUAUGGAGGAACACCAGUGGCGAAGGCGACUUUCUGGUCUGUAACUGACGCUGAUGUGCGAAAGCGUGGGGAUCAAACAGGAUUAGAUACCCUGGUAGUCCACGCCGUAAACGAUGAGUGCUAAGUGUUAGGGGGUUUCCGCCCCUUAGUGCUGCAGCUAACGCAUUAAGCACUCCGCCUGGGGAGUACGACCGCAAGGUUGAAACUCAAAGGAAUUGACGGGGACCCGCACAAGCGGUGGAGCAUGUGGUUUAAUUCGAAGCAACGCGAAGAACCUUACCAAAUCUUGACAUCCUCUGACCCCUCUAGAGAUAGAGUUUUCCCCUUCGGGGGACAGAGUGACAGGUGGUGCAUGGUUGUCGUCAGCUCGUGUCGUGAGAUGUUGGGUUAAGUCCCGCAACGAGCGCAACCCUUAAGCUUAGUUGCCAUCAUUAAGUUGGGCACUCUAAGUUGACCGCCGGUGACAAACCGGAGGAAGGUGGGGAUGACGUCAAAUCAUCAUGCCCCUUAUGAUUUGGGCUACACACGUGCUACAAUGGACAAUACAAAGGGCAGCGAAACCGCGAGGUCAAGCAAAUCCCAUAAAGUUGUUCUCAGUUCGGAUUGUAGUCUGCAACUCGACUAUAUGAAGCUGGAAUCGCUAGUAAUCGUAGAUCAGCAUGCUACGGUGAAUACGUUCCCGGGUCU
rnacentral:rRNA from 1 species